GGCUGGAUGGCCGAGCGGUCUAAGGCGCCAGACUCAAGCUACAACUUGCUUCCUGUUCUCUCAAGAACAGGCGUAUUCUGGUCUCGCAAGAGGCGCGUGUUCGAAUCACGCUUCAGUCA